UGCUUCCCUCUCGUCUCGCGAUUUCGUUUUGUCGAAGCUUUCGUCCUUCGCUCCAUCACACGCACUCGCGUUCCAGCGUCGCCAGCGUGCCGUCCUUGCCGGUUCAUUCGGCCGUCGCCGUUUGGUUCGCGCCCCGCUCGAAGUUGCUGCAGUCGUUUGAGCGACCGGACGUUAGCGGUUUCCUCCGGAGAGGUUGCAGUUGCUGAUCGGCGAGGAUGGCUGGUACGACGCCAGUGACGGUGGCCGUUGAGUACUGUGGUGGAUGAGGGUACGCCCCUCGCUUCGAAGAACUGAAGCGGCAGAUCCUCGGCCAGGUACCAAAGGCCACUGUGACUGGCACAGUGGGACGCAGAUUGUCCUUUGAAGUUGUAAUCAAUGGUGUCGUGGUGUUCUCAAAGCUUGAGAAGGGUGCCUUUCCAGUCUUUGGAGAGGUCGUCCAAAAAGUACUCGAAGCCAGCAAUGGCAAAGAGGUGAAGCCUUGCGAGGGGGUUGGCAGCAGAUGCACCAUAUUAUAGCACGACACAUCGUUGGACAUUUGCUCUGCUGGAUGACCGUGCAGUUUACUUUCCUGGACAAUAGCCAAAGGCUCUGGAAAUACGCACAAAUGAUGGCUUGGCCCCAAACCUUGAAAAGGGUCUUGCCUGAAGAACCAGCGUCUUCCUACCUGGUGCUACUUGCUCUGUGGAAAGCCAAUCAUGUAUGGACUAUGCAGAAGUAAAUGAAUUGUUGUUGUUUUCAUUUU